GACGAACGCUGGCGGCGUGCUUAACACAUGCAAGUCGAACGGAAAGGCCCUGCUUUUGUGGGGUGCUCGAGUGGCGAACGGGUGAGUAACACGUGAGUAACCUGCCCUUGACUUUGGGAUAACUUCAGGAAACUGGGGCUAAUACCGGAUAGGAGCUCCUGCUGCAUGGUGGGGGUUGGAAAGUUUCGGCGGUUGGGGAUGGACUCGCGGCUUAUCAGCUUGUUGGUGGGGUAGUGGCUUACCAAGGCUUUGACGGGUAGCCGGCCUGAGAGGGUGACCGGCCACCUUGGGACUGAGGUACGGCCCAGUCUCCUACGGGCGGCAGCAGUGGGGAAUAUUGCACAAUGGGCGGAAGCCUGAUGCAGCAACGCCGCGUGCGGGAUGACGGCCUUCGGGUUGUAAACCGCUUUCGCCUGUGACGAAGCGUGAGUGACGGUAAUGGGUAAAGAAGCACCGGCUAACUACGUG
rnacentral:rRNA from 1 species